rnacentral:rRNA from 1 species
GACGAACGCUGGCGGCGUGCUUAACACAUGCAAGUCGAACGACGUGGCGAACGGGUGAGUAACGCGUAAUCCACCUGCCCUUCAGAGGGUGACAACAGUUGGAAACGACUGCUAAUACCGCAUACUUAAGGAGGGGAUUGCGUCUGAUUAGCUAGUUGGAGGGGUAACGGCCCACCAAGGCGAUGAUCAGUAGCCGGUGUGAGAGGAUGAACGGCCACAUUGGGACUGAGGAAAGGCCCAGACUCCUACGGGAGGCAGGAGUUGGGAAUCUUCCGAAAUUGACGAAAGUCGGACGGAGCAACGCCGCGGUAGUGAUGACGGGCUUCGGGUUGGAAAGCUCUGUUAAUCGGGACGCGGUACCGGAAGAGAAAGCCACGGCUAACUACGUGCCAGCCGCCGCGGUAAUAC